AUGCCAAGUCAAGCUAGCCGACCAAAGUUUCCUCCGGUCCCAAUCUGUACCACCAACCUCUCUCUGCUCCGGAUCUGGCCAAACCGAAAAACCAAACCAUCCGGAGAAGAAAGCACCAUGGGGCGACUCUGGUGCAGAUCCGUCCGGGCUCUAGAUCCAGAGAAUCCAACCUGGGCAACGACGAGUACCACCACCCCGCACUGGCCGCUGGCGUCCAAGCGCCAGAUCGCAAAAGAUCUGACCCAAACGCGACAGCUCACGCAGCCACCAGUUCCUAGCGCUCCCGCAGCCUCCAAUCCGCGUUGCAAGCGUGGACUCUAG
rnacentral:rRNA from 1 species